rnacentral:rRNA from 1 species
GAUGAACGCUAGCGGCAGGCCUAAGACAUGCAAGUCGAGGGAGAAUGUUGGAUUCGUCUGACAUGAAACCGGCGCACGGGUGCGUAACACGUAUGCAACCUACCUUUAACUGGGGUAUAGCUCAGAGAAAUCUGAAUUAAUCCCCCAUAAGACUACGACAUGGCAUCAUGAUGUAGUUAAAGCUCCGGCGGUUAAGGAUGGGCAUGCGGUACAUUAGCUAGUUGGUGAGGUAAUGGCUCACCAAGGCUACGAUGUAUAGGGGGUCUGAGAGGAUGAUCCCCCAAACUGGUACUGAGACACGGACCAGACUCCUACGGGAGGCAGCAGUAGGGAAUAUUGGUCAAUGGACGCAAGUCUGAACCAGCCAUGCCGCGUGAAGGAUGAAGGCCCUAUGGGUCGUAAACUUCUUUUAUUAGGGAAGAAAAAACGGGAUGCGUCCUGUACUGACGGUACUUAAUGAAUAAGGAUCGGCUAACUUCGUGCCAGCCGCCGCGGUAA